UCUAAUAUGGCAGAAUAGUGCAUUGAACUUAAAUCUCAAUUAUAAAGACAAUCUUUUUUUAGAA
rnacentral:tRNA from 1 species